UGGUCGUGUCGGUAGGCAAGGCUACCGCAGGGAUAUGGGUUGCUACCGCAAAGCAGUGGAGACACUGCAAGCAGGUCAACAGUUUCUGUCGAUUCAAGGCACUGACUAAUGCAGCUCCACGGCCCGGCGAUGCUAAAGCUCAAACGAUGACGAUUCAG
rnacentral:sRNA from 2 species